rnacentral:lncRNA from 1 species
CAAUAUAAAUCAAAUUAUAUAAAAAUUAAUCUUGAAUCUUGCCCAAUUAAAUAAAUCCACAUGGCGCCGCAAAAUGCUUACGUGGACCAAGAACACAUCCCCAUACAUUACUAUUCGUCACCAGAACACUCAAACUUCCUUACACCAGUAAAGGAAGAACAAAGAACAAAAAAAAAUUUAACAACAGAGAUAAUCAUAUACUCCAUAGUAAACCAUAACCCCACUAAUCAACCCGAUCCGAUCCAAGUUCUUCAGUCCUCUGUCUUCUCCACAGCAACUUCUGCCUCUGUUGCAGCUGUCUCUUCAGCCGGCUCCUGUACUGGCGCCACCACAGCUGCUGCAACUGGUUCUUCAGCUGGAGCAACAGCUGGCUCCUCAGCAACGGCCGGCUCGGCUGCAGCUUCCGCUUCCGGCGCCUCUUCCUCAACUGUGGCGGCAACAGAAGCUGGCUCCUCAACCUUCUCGGCUUCAGCUUCUACUUCCUUAACCUCUUCUGCUUCAACAGGAGCAGCAACUUCCUCUGUUUUCUCAACGGGAGCUUCUUCCUCCUUAGCCUCUGUCUCAGCUGGUACAGCUGGUACCGCUUCCCGGUCUGGUAACGG